ensembl:lncRNA
UCACAAUGAACAUUGAGUUGUAGAAUACUGUAUUUUGAAUGAUUAGCAUAUUUUGCAUUUUCAUUGUUCAGAGCCUGUGGAAAAGGGCCAAAUAACUCCUACAAAGAAAGGUAACAAGACUUAGAUCAAGUUAUUUAAUUUGAUGAUUAACAUUAUUCUAACUGUGGAUGUUUAUGGUUUUAGAGCCUGCCAUCUCCCAAGAAAGACAAGACAAGCACUACCAAGACAACCACAAGCACUUCCAAGAAUGAAGCUGUUGUCUCCAAAGAAAAGACAAAACCUAUCACAAUGAAGAAAGAGGUUGUUGUUUCCAAAGAUAAAGCUAAAACAACAGCUACCAAGAAAGGUAACGAAUAUAGUUGCUAUGGGAUUCACAAUGUAACAUUGAGCUGUAUGAAUAAUGUAUUUUGAAUGAUGAGCAUAUUAUGUAUUUUCAUUGUUUCAGAGCCUGUGGAAAAGGACAAAAUAACUCCUACGAAGAAAGGUAACAAGAACUUAGAUCAAGUAAUUUCAUUUGAUGAAUUAACAUAUAUUCUAACUGUGGAUAUAUUAUGGUUUUAGAGCCUGCAAUCUUCAAAGAAAAAGUCAAGACAAGCACUACCAAGACAACCACAAGCGCUUCCAAGAAAGUUGUUUCAGAACCCGAGACCCUAAAAGAGAAAGCCACUCCGAGAGUCCCCACUAUGAGGAAAGGGAACCACACUAAUGUAGUGGUGCCAAUGGUAAAAGCCAUGGCUAGAGUUGUCGCUAUAAGACCCAUCCCUACAACAAAAGGUAACCAAACAGCAAUGCAAAAGUUCAUCAAACUAAAUAUAGAUUAUUUUCAGUUAGAUACAAUGACAAUUGUAAACAUGCUGUUUAACUGUUUUAACACUUUUAUCUCCUGCAGUGACAGAGGAGAAGCUAUCCAAAGAACCUGAGACAGGUAAAAUGUAUCCGUCGUAAUGGUGUGUAGGGCAGAAAUAUUAUACAAACAAGGAUAUCGUCUUUCAUUUUUAAAAUCUUGCAUGUAAUUUACUGAAUAAUAAAUAAAUCAAAAUGUUUUCCAUCACCAAAAGAGAAAACAAAAGCGGCAGAGAAAAAAGGUGUGAAUAAUUUCAGUGUUUUGAGUGGAUUUAUUUCCAGACAUGUUACAUACGUUUUCCUUUUAGAGUUGUUCAGUGGGUGAAAUUACGUGUUUGGUCUGUGUUCUUUGUUUCAGAGGUUGUUGUUUCCAAAGAUAAAGCUAAAACAACAGCUGCCAAGAAAGGUAACGAAUAUAUUUAGUUGCAAGACUGAGUUGUAUGAAUACUGUAUUUUUAAUUAUGAACAUAUUUUGUUUUUUCAAUGUUUCAGGGCCUGUGGAAAAGGACCAAAUAACUCCUACGAAGAAAGGUAACAAGAACUUAGAUCAAGUUUUUUAAUUUGAUGAAUUAACAUAUAUUCUAACUGUGGAUAUAUCAUGGUUUUAGAGCCUUCAAUCUUCAAAGAAAAACCCAAGACAAUCACUACCAAGACAACCACAAGCACUUCCAGAAAAGGUAAUACUAUUUUUCACAAAUGUUAACUUGAGUAGAUGCUUACUAUUAGUUGUAGUUAAAAGCUUGUGGUUUUGUAGURCAUUAUUAAUAACUUAACUGCAUGCUUGACUUUUAUUGGAAAAUAUUGAGCAUGAUGUUGUCAUUCCAGAAGCUGUUGUCUCCAAAGAAAAUACAAAACCUGCCACAAUGAAGAAAGGUACUUUAUUGCGUGUUGUAAUAAUAUUACACCUAACAUUAGCUAGCGAGCUAAUGUUAGCUAGCUAAUAAUAUACUUUAACUUGAAAUGAAAUAACUUUCUGACAAAAUGAGAAACGUGCAAUAUCUGAAAACUUAGCUAGCUAGACUAUCUUACCCGUUGUAUACAUGGAUGGACGUUUCUCCCUCUCUGUCACAGAUGCCAUGGUUGCCCUUAGUUUGAAGAUGUAAUCCAGAGAAAGGUGUUUUAUGCAACAGUCUUCUGUGUUCUCUUUUCAACUCCCUUUCCAUUUUUCAACUCCUUUUCAAACGGCAGAAAUUUCUCCAUAUCCUUAGCCAUCAUACUCCAAUUCCACCGGGCAUUCCACUGAUUUCAAAACUCGGUCCUCCAGAAAGUGGAGAGCAACACCUUUUCAAUUCCACUUUGUGAUAUCUUUUGAAAAAAAGACGCGUUAGAAAGGAUUACCUACACAUACUGACCAGCUUCUGUUAUAGACAGGAGCGUGCUACAUGGCAGACCAAUCCGAACUCAUCUCUCGGCAUGUCCAGUCCACCCAUUAUCUCAGCCAAACAUGCCUAACAGGAAGGUUCCUAUCUUUUUUUCAUGGCUAAACCAACUAGGCUCUUAAUUAACAAUUGUAUUUGUAUUUACAGAUGGCAUACAAGUUUGUUAUAAAGGCACAUGAAAGUCCACACGUUCCAGAAGGCAUUUCUGCCAAAAAACAUAUUUAGAUUUUUUUAUUUUUAAAGUUUACAUUCAAAUGGCUCGCCUGUGAAGUAAUGACGCGAACUUACGCCUAGGCACCGUUUAUUUUAUACACUGCCUUUGGAAAGUAUUCAGACCCCUUUACUUUUUUCCACAUUUUCUUAUGUUACAGCYUUGCUCAAAAAUGUAUUAAAUAAAUACAAAUCCUCAGCAAUCUACACACAAAACCCCAUAAUGRCARAGCUAAAACAGGUUGUUAGAAAUUUAAGCAAAUUUCUAAAAAUUAAAAAACAGAAAUACCUUAUUUACAUAAGUAUUCAGACCCUUUGCUAUGAGACUUGAAGUUGAGCUCAGGUGCUACAUGUUUCCAUUGAUUAGCCUUCAGAUGUUUCUACAACUUCAUUGGAGUCMACCUUUKGUAAAUUYAGAKUUGUUCAGUUGGUGAAAUUACGUGUUUGGUCUGUGUUCUUCGUUUCAGAGGUUGUUGUUUCCAAAGAUAAAGGUAAAACAACAACUGCUAAGAAAGGUAACGGAUAUAGUUGCUAUGGGAUUCACAAUGCAACAUUGAGUUGUAUGAAUACUGUAUUUUGAAUGAUGAGCAUGUUUUGUAUUUUCAUUGUUUCAGAGCCUGUGGRAAAGGRCAAAAUAACUCCUACGAAGAAAGGUAACAAGAACUUACAUCAAGUUAUUCCAGUUGAUGAAUUAACAUAUAUUCUAACUGUGGAUAUAUUAUGGUUUUAGAGCCUGCAAUCUCCAAAGAAAAAGUGAAGACAAACUCUACCAAGACAACCACAAGCGCUUCCAAGAAAGGUAAUAUUGUAUUUCACAAAUGUUAACUUGAGUAGAUGCUUACUAUUAGUUGUAGUGAAAC